GGGGUUAUAGCGCAGUGGUAGCGCGUCCGCUUUGCACGAUCGCAUGAAUUGCGGAAGGUCCAGUGUUCGAUCCACUGUUUCUCCA